GCCAUUGGAGGGCAAGUCUGGUGCCAGCAGCCGCGGUAAUUCCAGCUCCAAUAGCGUAUAUUAACGUUGUUGCAGUUAAAAAGCUCGUAGUUGAAGUGUGGGUGAUCGCUGUUGUGAGACUUCGGUCUCUCGACAGUAAGUCACCCCCUUCCAGUAUCCAGUAGUGGGUAUUCACUUACUUACUACUGUGUGUUGGUCGUUUACUGUGAGAAAAUUAGAGUGUUCAAAGCAGGCGUUUGCUUGAAUAGAUUAGCAUGGAAUAAUAAUUGAAGGCUUUCGUGUUCGAUUUGAUUGGUUUGUUCAUGGAAGCAAGGUUAAAAGGAACAGUUGGGGGUAUUCAUAUUCACUAGUUAGAGGUGAAAUUCUCGGAUUUAUGGAAGAUGAACAAGUGCGA
rnacentral:rRNA from 1 species